GAUGCUCACUUCAGCAGCACAGACUAAAACUGGAACAUAACAGAGGAGAUUAGCAUGGUCCUGAGGAGGGAUGAAACACAAAUCCAUUUUUUU
rnacentral:snRNA from 1 species